GACGAACGCUGGCGGCGCGCUUAACACAUGCAAGUCGAGCGAGAACCGAGGCUUCGGCCUCGGGGACAGCGGCGAACGGGUGAGUAACACGUGGAUUACCUGCCCUCGGCACCGGGAUAGCCCGGGGAAACUCGGAUUAAUACCGGAUAGCCCUUUCGGCUUUCGAGCCGGUCGGAAAAGGUAGCUUCGGCCUCUGGCCGAGGAUGGGUCCGCGGCGGAUUAGCUUGUUGGUGGGGUAACGCCUACCAAGGCUUCGACCGUAGCUGGUCUGAGAGGACGAUCAGCCACACUGGGACUGAGACACGGCCCAGACUCCUACGGGAGGCAGCAGUGGGGAAUCUUGCGCAAUGGGCGAAAGCCUGACGCAGCGACGCCGCGUGA
rnacentral:rRNA from 1 species